CUUCACCACUAUUCAAAAGGCAGAUGUGAUGCUAUUGAACCCUCCUUCAGCUGGAGUUGUGCGAAAGUAUAGUUUAAUUGGCAAAGGCUGCUUUUGUGUUUUUUUUUUUUUUCACUCAUGGGCUCAGGUCAUUGGUCCUGUGUUGCUGAAGGGAGCAGCUGAUUUUUCAUAAACUGUACCUACACAGUUUUUUCUACACUGAUCAGGCAUACAGAAAUUAAAGACAUUUUUGUAGCUGGCAACUACUUUCAACCUGACAGUUUUGGCCACAGUGGCAAAAAGUUUGGACACCUCCGUCUAAGAGAAACCAGUAUUUGCCACGAACCAGGUUGACAGCGGCAAAGUUCAUUAUGCCAUAUUGUCUGAACCAGAUGGAGGACAGGAGUCUGCAACAGCUGGAUGAACACAGGCUCCCUUGACACUGACAGCUGUUUCUUGCAAAUUGGAGCGUAUCCAUCGGUUUAUCAUCCCACACCCUCUUCUUAUGUAUACGCACUGCCUUUCACAUCUGUGUUUGUGAUUUUGUUUUGAAUGGCACUUCUGCAAAGUGGAACUGGGUAAAAAGUGAAAGUUGCUUUUAAUUUGCAAAUACACAGAAAAAUUGCAUAAACUUCAAAGAGUAUCCCUAACUGGCAAGCAUCUCAUGUUGAUCUUUCAUUGCUGUUGUUUUCUUCCUUUUGUUUACCUUAUGUCAAGCAUAUGUGCUAUAUGUGCUAAUUUUUAAAACAUAUCCGUGACCAAUGAUGAAGACAUUGUCAGGAGAAAUGUUGUCUGAGAGGCCAUAGCUUGGAUACCUUAAAUCCCCCCUCCUAAGGGAUUUAAAUGUUCUCAAUGGCAAGCCAGGUCUGCAUGUAAUUUGCCUCAGUGGAGAACAAGCGCUUAUAUUUUCUGAUUCAUUUCUGACCAGUAUUGUUACCCUAAUGUAUAUGGGCAUGCACGCGCACUGUAAUUUCUCCAAAAAACUGUCACCAUUAUACUGAUAUUAGCGAGCUGUGCAAUGGUGGAAUAGAAGCAGCUAAAAGUUUUCAUUUUCUGCACAGAAGUGUUCAUUUAUUCUGAAUGGUUCAACCGACUUCAGCAGCUUUCAGACCAUUUUUUCAGACAUUGUCUGGCACACCACUCAAUCUGUGUAAGAUCCUGUACAAUUAAUUGUCUCACAACAAGUUUUUGCCUAAAACGUCACUUCACGCUAAUGAAACAUGUAGUGAUUAAAAGGGAGGUUAAAAGAUUGAUAAAAUGGGGAUGUUCUUGUGUGUCAUUUCCUUUGAUAGAAUGAGUUAUUAUUAAAGGCAAUUAUCAUGGGUAACAUGCAGGAUGAAAGAGGAGGCAGAGGAGACGGAGGUUAUUGAAUUAAUUUAUUUAUAUGGCCUGUAGAUGUCAGCAAACAUUUUGUACUGCCAGAAGAUGCAAAAACAGUAAAACUACAGUUAACACAUUUUUUACCUGAGAAACUUUAUGGAGAAACUUUAUGCUGACCAACACACCUGCAGUGAGCUCAAUAACUGGCUGCUGGAUCUGCUACAGCUAUCUGUUGUUGCUGUGCCCUGAAAUUUGAUAUGUCCCUCUUGGGUUGGCUCUUUAGUUGGGGGCACAAUUCCAAUUGUUUUACAAUACUGAUACCAAAAGAGACUGGAAUGGGAAGACUGUUUUUGGUGGGUGAGGAGAAAUCCACAAUCCUGACUUUGAUAAAUUUCUAUUUUAAGAUUUUUCUGGCUCUAAGACAGGAUAUUUUCCUCUUACUAAGACUGUCUUUUCGUAGCCUUGAAAUUUUUGAAAGUAAAUUGUUUGGUCUUUAGGGAAAAUCUUGUUUCAAACAUGACAUGUUUUAACUGUGCAGGAGAAAAAGGAGUAAAAAUGCACACUGUUUCAAUCAACUACUGCAUCUUAAUCCACUUGUACACAUUCCAUCCUUAUGCUUGGUGUAAAAUUCAAGGCAUUUGCUAAAAUAUGUCUAACUACACUACAUCUGUGUCAUGCUAUUGCAAUCCAAAGGCUCUGAAGUAUUUUGGUAAUUCUUUGGGACACAUUGAGCAUAUGGAUGGAAAGACAGAUGGGGAUUAAGUGACAGAAGGCAUUUGAGAAGUUUUGAUUUUCAUUUCUGUAAAGCUUGUCACCACGGGUAUCUAUGUAUUACACAUUUUGAAAGUACGACUUGUAGUUUACACUAGUAUUUUAUCUUGUGCUUCACUAUGAGCCGUUUUUUCUAUUUCUGUACACAAACAAAACAAUCGUUGUGGAAUGUAUCAUUCAGUAAAUCUUUCCCACGCCCUAUAUUUGCACACAUAGAUACACACUAAUCUUUACCAGCUGCAUGUGAUCUAAUCAUCACCAGAGAAAAAUGCAGUUCACCUCCGCUGGCUUAGAGAAAACCUCCCUAAAUAAGAACGUCCCCAUAAUGAGAUUUUUUCUGAUGGAUCUUCAUUGUUAAGAUUGACCUUGUUCAGCACCUUACCCUCAUUUAAACCACAAAUCCAUCUCCCUGGUCCGACCAGAUGAUUUUUAAUUAAAUGUGUGCAUGAAAAAUUGAAACACUUAUCAUGCUAUUUUCCUUUAUCUCAUUUAAGCUGAUUUCAUUACCUUUGUUUCAAGAAUGGUCUGGACAUCAAGAUUUCACCUAAUACCUGAGAGAUUUAAUACUCUCCUUAGAACAACUGAAUGCUUUAAAAAUGGCGAAUUGAAAAGCUCAGAGCGUCAUGCUGUAAUCCCCAAAGUGUAGCUAGAGUUAAACAAACUGAGCCCUUCUGGCCCUUGCGGAAGAAGUUUUUUUUAAAUCACUGAACUAGAAGAAGGCACGAGUAUGACAUUUUCUACAUUGUUAACAAACCUCACCACAUACUAUUGCCUUCAGCAAGAUUUGUCCUUUGUUUCUACAAGGCCUGUGAACUGUAAAUCUACUCCUGUAUAACCCUUAAUUUAGAACUAUAGUGGUAAAGUGUUACUGGUGUUUGCAUGAAAAAUAAACUAACAUUUCACAAACAAAGCU